rnacentral:rRNA from 1 species
UACGGGAGGCAGCAGUGGGGAAUAUUGCACAAUGGGCGCAAGCCUGAUGCAGCCAUGUCGCGUGUAUGAAGAAGGCCUUCGGGUUGUAAAGUACUUUCAGUCGUGAGGAAGGUGUUAAGGUUAAUAACCUUAGCAAUUGACGUUAGCGACAGAAGAAGCACCGGCUAACUCCGUGCCAGCAGCCGCGGUAAUACGGAGGGUGCGAGCGUUAAUCGGAAUUACUGGGCGUAAAGGGCACGCAGGCGGUUAAUUAAGUUGGAUGUGAAAUCCCCGGGCUUAACCUGGGAAUGGCAUUCAAGACUGGUUAGCUAGAGUCUUGUAGAGGGGGUAGAAUUCCAUGUGUAGCGGUGAAAUGCGUAGAGAUGUGGAGGAAUACCGGUGGCGAAGGCGGCCCCUGGGACAAAGGACUGACGCUCAUGUGCGAAAGCGUGGGGAGCGAAAC